rnacentral:rRNA from 1 species
GAUGAACGCUAGCGGCAGGCUUAACACAUGCAAGUCGAGGGGUAGGGCAGCAAUGCCUGAGACCGGCGCACGGGUGCGUAACGCGUAUGCAACCUACCUUUUACAGGGGGAUAGCCCAGAGAAAUUUGGAUUAAUACCCCAUGGUAUAAUUUGAUGGCAUCAUUAGAUUAUUAAAGUUCCAACGGUAAAAGAUGGGCAUGCGUCCUAUUAGCUAGAUGGUAAGGUAACGGCUUACCAUGGCUACGAUAGGUAGGGGUCCUGGGAGGGAGAUCCCCCACACUGGUACUGAGACACGGACCAGACUCCUACGGGAGGCAGCAGUGAGGAAUAUUGGACAAUGGGCGCAAGCCUGAUCCAGCCAUGCCGCGUGCAGGAAGAAGCAUCUAUGGUGUGUAAACUGCUUUUGUACGGGAAGAAACACCCCCUCGUGAGGGGGCUUGACGGUACCGUAAGAAUAAGGAUCGGCUAACUCCGUGCCAGCCGCCGCAGUAACAC